rnacentral:rRNA from 1 species
UGGGGAACUUUCCGCAAUGGGCGAAAGCCUGACGGAGCAAUGCCGCGUGGAGGUGGAAGGCCUACGGGUCGUCAACUUCUUUUCUCGGAGAAGAAACAAUGACGGUAUCUGAGGAAUAAGCAUCGGCUAACUCUGCGCCAG